CCCUUAGAUGUCCUGGGCCGCACGCGUGCUACACUGAUGCAUACAGCGAGCACUUCCCGGCCCCGAAAGGCGGCUGGUAAUCAGCAAUAUGCAUCGUGAUGGGGAUAGUUCUUUGGAAUUCUUGAACUUGAACGAGGAAUGCCUAGUAGGCGCACGUCAUUACCGUGCGUCGAUUAAGUCCCUGCCCUUUGUACACACCGCCCGUCGCUCCUACCGAUUCGAGUGAUCCGGUGAACCCUUUGGACCGAGGCAGCUUGCUGUUUUGGAAAAUCGAGUAAACCACGUCACUUAGAGGAGGGAGAAGUCGUAACA
rnacentral:rRNA from 1 species